AACGAACGCUGGCGGCAUGCCUAACGCAUGCAAGUCGAACGAGACCUUCGGGUCUAGUGGCGCACGGGUGCGUAACGCGUGGGAACCUGCCCUUAGGUUCGGAAUAACUCCCCGAAAGGGGUGCUAAUACCGGAUAAUGUCUUCGGACCAAAGAUUUAUCGCCUUUGGAUGGGCCCGCGUUGGAUUAGCUAGUUGGUAGGGUAAAAGCCUACCAAGGCGACGAUCCAUAGCUGGUCUGAGAGGAUGAUCAGCCACACUGGGACUGAGACACGGCCCAGACUCUUACGGGAGGCAGCAGUGGGGAAUAUUGGACAAUGGGCGAAAGCCUGAUCCAGCAAUGCCGCGUGAGUGAUGAAGGCCUUAGGGUUGUAAAGCUCUUUUACCCGGGAUGAUAAUGACAGUACCGGGAGAAUAAGCUCCGGCUAACUCCGUG
rnacentral:rRNA from 1 species